AAUAAAGCUACGCUUAAUUAUCGACGCCAUGUCGAUAAGCGGGGGAACCAGUCAAUUGGGGCGAAUCGGCGGCAUUGCCGCGAAGGGUACCAUCUUAACCCGAGCCCGUCAGCUAACCUCGUCAGCAGUGGAUGGGUCUA
rnacentral:sRNA from 2 species